rnacentral:rRNA from 1 species
CCGGCGCACGGGUGAGUAACACGUAUCCAACCUGCCGUCUACUCUUGGACAGCCUUCUGAAAGGAAGAUUAAUACAAGAUGGCAUCAUGAGUCCGCAUGUUCACAUGAUUAAAGGUAUUCCGGUAGACGAUGGGGAUGCGUUCCAUUAGAUAGUAGGCGGGGUAACGGCCCACCUAGUCUUCGAUGGAUAGGGGUUCUGAGAGGAAGGUCCCCCACAUUGGAACUGAGACACGGUCCAAACUCCUACGGAAGGCAGCAG